CUCCAGGUGGUUUUUAUGCAUACUAAGGUUUAAGAAGCACUGGGCCCGGACACAGGGCAAGUCAUUAGCUAUAAAAAAGGGAAGGGAGAGGGGUGAAGUCUGUCUCCACAUUACUGGAAGAGUCUUCUUUUUACGUCACUUGGCCCCUCUCUUCAGGGGAUUUGGGUAGGAAGACUUUAAUGUUUUAUGGGAAUUUUAAAGAUGAGAACCAUUGGGUGGAGGAAUGGAUUUGUGACGUAACUCAACUUCAAGUUGAGCUUUGAAGUAUGUGCUGAAGAGGAAAAGGAAGACCUUGGUCAUCAGACCAGCCCUCUGGACAUUUGCUCCAUUUCCAAAGAGGGACAACCUAUCUAGGACUGGAGUACUUCAUUACAGAUGGGAUUUAUGGUCUUAUAAACUCUAAAUCACUGUGUCUAAUAAAGAGUCUUGCAGGCCU